GUCUAGUUGGUCUAGUGGUUAGCAAGUUGGAUAGCGGAUUCAAAGGUUCAUGGUUCGAACCUGACAGGCG
rnacentral:tRNA from 1 species